rnacentral:rRNA from 1 species
UACGUAGGGUGCAAGCGUUGUCCGGAAUUAUUGGGCGUAAAGAGCUCGUAGGCGGUCUGUUGCGUCGGCUGUGAAAACCCGAGGCUCAACCUCGGGCCUGCAGCCGAUACGGGCAGACUAGAGUUCGGCAGGGGAGACUGGAAUUCCUGGUGUAGCGGUGAAAUGCGCAGAUAUCAGGAGGAACACCGGUGGCGAAGGCGGGUCUCUGGGCCGAAAUUGACGCUGAGGAGCGAAAGCGUGGGGAGCAAACAGG